GGUCAAGUGACUAAGCGUACACGGUGGAUGCCUUGGCAGUCAGAGGCGAUGAAGGACGUGGUAAUCUGCGAUAAGCGUUGGCGAGUUGAUAAACAAACCGUGACCCAACGAUUUCCGAAUGGGGAAACCCACUCACGUAAGUGAGUAUCCUUUACCUGAAUACAUAGGGUUUAGGAGGCGAACCCGGGGAACUGAAACAUCUAAGUACCCGGAGGAAAAGAAAUCAACCGAGAUUCCCCUAGUAGCGGCGAGCGAACGGGGAGCAGCCCUUAAGCAAUAUUGGUGUUAGUGGAACGCCCUGGAAAGUGCGGCCAUAGUGGGUGAUAGCCCCGUACACGAAAACCCCUUUAUUGUGAAAUCGAGUAGGACGGCACACGUGAAAUGCUGUCUGAACAUGGGGGGACCAUCCUCCAAGGCUAAAUACUCCUGACUGACCGAUAGUGAACCAGUACCGUGAGGGAAAGGCGAAAAGAACCCCGUUGAGGGGAGUGAAACAGAACCUGAAACCGUGUACGUACAAGCAGUGGGAGCACCCUUCGGGGUGUGACUGCGUACCUUUUGUAUAAUGGGUCAGCGACUUAUUUUCAGUGGCAAGGUUAACCGUAUAGGGAAGCCGUAGCGAAAGCGAGUCUUAAUAGGGCGUCCUCUCUUAGGAGAAAAAGUCGCUGGGAAUAGACCCGAAACCGGGCGAUCUAUCCAUGAGCAGGUUGAAGAUCAGGUAACACUGAUUGGAGGACCGAACCCACUGUCGUUGAAAAGCCAGGGGAUGACUUGUGGAUAGGAGUGAAAGGCUAAUCAAGCCCGGAGAUAGCUGGUUCUCCUCGAAAGCUAUUUAGGUAGCGCCUCUUGUCUCACCAUCGGGGGUAGAGCACUGUUUGGGCUAGGGGGUCAUCCCGACUUACCAACCCCAUGCAAACUCCGAAUACCGAUGAGUGCAAUCAAGGGAGACACACGGCGGGUGCUAACGUCCGUCGUGGAAAGGGAAACAACCCAGACCGUCAGCUAAGGUCCCAAAGUAAUAGUUAAGUGGGAAACGAUGUGAGAAGGCCCAGACAGCCAGGAGGUUGGCUUAGAAGCAGCCACCCUUUAAAGAAAGCGUAAUAGCUCACUGGUCGAGUCGGCUCGCGCGGAAGAUGUAACGGGGCUCAAACUAUUCACCGAAGCUACGGGUGGUCAGAAGACAGAUGACAGAGGACAGAAGACAGUGAAGAACGAUGAAUCGUCACUUCGCUGCUACAGUUCCCUCUUUCAUCAUUGAAAGAUGUACAGAAGCAAUGAAUGAGUCGGCUAAAACUGUUAAUGGCUUUGAAGACCUUGAAGUAUUCAAAAGAGCUUACAAGGUAUCUUUGGAAAUUCACUCACUGAGCUUGAAUUUUCCGAAGCACGAACAAUUUGCAGGGUUAGCGGAUCAAAUGCGUCGAGCCAGUAAAGGUAUCUGCGCAAACAUUGCGGAAGGCUAUGGUAAAUAAAGCGUAUCUAACGCUGAGUUUCGAAGGUUUUUAUUAAUGGCCAUCGGAUCAGCCGACGAAAUGCGAGUCUGGACGAGAUACAGUCUUGACCUUGGUUAUAUAACCUUGAAUCAAUGGCAAGCUCUGAAGGCUGAAUACCAACAAAUAGCCCGGAUGUUGACAGGAUUACACAGAAGCUGGAAAUAGCUUCUAAGCAACCUGUCCUCCGUCUUCUGUCAUCUGUCUUCUGAUUGCGGUAGAGGAGCGUUGUGUAAGCGGUUGAAGGUGUGCCGGGAGGCAUGCUGGACGUAUCACAAGUGCGAAUGCUGACAUGAGUAACGAUAAAGGGAGUGAGAUCCUCCCUCGCCGGAAGACCAAGGGUUCCUGCGCAACGCUAAUCGGCGCAGGGUGAGUCGGCCCCUAAGGUGAGGUCGAAAGACGUAAUCGAUGGGAAACAGGUUAAUAUUCCUGUACUCCUUUUGACUGCGACGGAGUGACGGAGAAGGCUAGGCCGGCAGGGCGAUGGUUGUCCCUGUUUAAGGUCGUAGGCUGUGGGUUCAGGCAAAUCCGGACCCACAAAGCCGAGAACUGAUGACGAACCCACUACGGUGGGGAAGUGGUUGAUGCCAUGCUUCCAGGAAAAACUUCUAAGCUUCAGGUCAAAAGGAACCGUACCCCAAACCGACACAGGUGGUCAGGUAGAGAAUACCAAGGCGCUUGAGAGAACUUGGGUGAAGGAACUAGGCAAAAUGGCACCGUAACUUCGGGAGAAGGUGCGCCGGCUGGUGUGAAGGGCUUGCCCCGUAAGCACCGGCUGGUCGAAGAUACCAGGUGGCUGCGACUGUUUAUUAAAAACACAGCACUGUGCUAACACGUAAGUGGACGUAUACGGUGUGACGCCUGCCCGGUGCCGGAAGGUUAAUUGAUGGGGUUAGCUUCGGCGAAGCUCUUGAUCGAAGCCCCGGUAAACGGCGGCCGUAACUAUAACGGUCCUAAGGUAGCGAAAUUCCUUGUCGGGUAAGUUCCGACCUGCACGAAUGGCGUAACGAUGGCCACGCUGUCUCCACCCAAGACUCAGUGAAAUUGAAAUCGCUGUUAAGAUGCAGUGUAUCCGCGGCUAGACGGAAAGACCCCGUGAACCUUUACUACAGCUUCACAGUGGAUCUUGAUGUUGCUUGUGUAGGAUAGGUGGGAGGCUUUGAAACGUGGACGCCAGUCUGCGUGGAGCCGACCUUGAAAUACCACCCUGGCAAUAUUGAGGUUCUAACCCAGGUCCCUAACCGGGAUCGGGGACAUUGUGUGGUGGGUAGUUUGACUGGGGCGGUCUCCUCCCAAAGAGUAACGGAGGAGCACGAAGGUUGGCUAAGCACGGUCGGACAUCGUGCGGUUAGUGUAAAGGCACAAGCCAGCUUGACUGCGAGACGUACAUGUCGAGCAGGUACGAAAGUAGGUCUUAGUGAUCCGGUGGUUCUGCAUGGAAGGGCCAUCGCUCAACGGAUAAAAGGUACUCCGGGGAUAACAGGCUGAUACCGCCCAAGAGUUCACAUCGACGGCGGUGUUUGGCACCUCGAUGUCGGCUCAUCACAUCCUGGGGCUGAAGCCGGUCCCAAGGGUAUGGCUGUUCGCCAUUUAAAGUGGUACGCGAGCUGGGUUUAGAACGUCGUGAGACAGUUCGGUCCCUAUCUGCCGUGGACGUUGGAAGUUUGAGGAGAGCUGCUCCUAGUACGAGAGGACCGGAGUGGACGAACCACUGGUGUUCGGGUUGUGUCGCCAGACGCAUUGCCCGGUAGCUAAGUUCGGACGGGAUAACCGCUGAAAGCAUCUAAGCGGGAAGCCCCCUUCAAGAUGAGACUUCCCUUGGCCUUCGAGGCCACAUAAGAGACGUUGAAGACUACGACGUUGAUAGGCGGGGUGUGUAAGCGUUGUGAGGCGUUGAGCUAACCCGUACUAAUGACUCGAGAGGCUUGACCAU
rnacentral:rRNA from 1 species